GUUGCCAUCACCAAUUCUUCAUACGUGAAUGUGCUCUUUGAGAAACCUAAAGCAAUGCUAGGGGAAGGUGGGGGGAGAGGGUUGUCAGAUCCUGAAUAAUUGGACCCUGAACCACCACUGCUGCUCACAAAAGGUGGUUGUGGAGGUGGCGGAGGUGUAGGAACCUGCACCGGUGAGUGGGGCGGGCGUGAUGCAGUUCCUGGUGGAGGAGAGGGCUUUGGAAACACUGUGACAGCAUGAUCUGCAGGUGGAGGGACAUUGUGUUGCCACUGCUGUGGUGGACCACCAUACGGAUCAUCUGGCAAUUAGCAAUCAACAGCAAAAUGAGUUAGCAAAUUUCACUGUAAUAGUAGGGGAAGGUGAAUGUUUAGGAAGCAGAUGAAAAUGAAUAUACAAAACACGAAUUGAGUUACUUUGUUUUCCAAAGCACACUAAUUUAGCAAUUUUCUUUUGUUUUUUUUGGAUUGGUAAAUUUUUUGUCCCCAUUAGGACUUGAACCUAGAACCUCCCACAAACCCUCCCCAACCCUUCACCACUUGAGACCAGGCCUCAAAGGCUAAUUUAGCAAUUUAUUACAAACUCCUUAAAAAAGGGUGGUCAUCUAGAAUCUCUAAAUUUUUUUUAAUCAGCAACAAAAAUGGUUCAUUUCUAUUAAAUGACCACAUUGCUACCUCUCCUAAAAUUUUCUUAUCAUUCAAAUGAAUUAGGUUAUGAUUCUUUUUCAUGGAACAGAUUUGUCCAUUCAAAUGCUAUUAUUUCUGUGGCUGUCUCCAAAUGCCCAUAACUUAGAAUGAUUCUUAUAUACUAGAAUGCAGAAAAGGACUUGUAUUGCUCCAGAUAUGAAAAUAUGAGACAAUGGACACAGAUGAAAAUAUAAUUAGGAGUUAGCGGAGUGAAUUCAUCCCCAAGGUUGUUUGGUAACACAACCCCCAAAAAAACAAGAAAAGAAAAAAAGGAAAAAAAUGUAGGCAACACAUAGAAAAUAAAGUGAACUACAAUUACGAAAACCGGAACACAAGAAUGCUGACUUGGAAAACAAGAGCUUCUGCAUCUCACAAGUCACAAUAUUUUUCAUCCAAAAGCUUAAAUGGAAGUGUAUUUGCAAAACCUAUAUUUCCUGUAAGUGAUUCAAAUUAAGCCUAACACUCUACUUUGAAAAUCUUGGCAAAAGCAUCCAACUAUAUAACAGCUCAAAUAAAGAGGAAAUGAAAUCAUUUUCAAAUGUCAAAGUUCAUCCAGAACAGGUCUUCUCUCAUCCCAGAGGAAACGCACAUCCACAUGAUAAGUCAAGUAUCCACAAUGGAAAAUUUCAAAUCCAACAAAAUGCCAAAUUGAUAACUUUAUUGGAUGAGAAAUAUCAAAUUAAGAUCAACUUUUUCCAGGAUUCCAAACAGAUCCCCACUUAACACAGUCCAGACUAGCCAUCGACUCGACCAUAGAAAAUCUAUCAAUCAAGAAACUAGAAAUGAAUUCAUUUAUAACCCAACAACCAAGGGAAAUCCCAAAACCAAUUUAUGUGAAUUAAAAAUAAGAAUAAUUUCACCUUUUCAACGAAAAAAAUAAAAAAAUAAGAAAACAUGUCUGUUUUUUUUUUUUUUUUUUUUUUUGUCCUCUUACUCCGAAAUUGAGCUUUCAAAAUCAUUCUGUGAAGCAAAUCCCAUCAAUCACAACCCUAAAAGAAACUAUGGCAUAAAUUAUAAAUCAAAACCAGCAACAAGACCGGUUCCAGUCAGUCAUAUAAUUAAAAGUAAUAGAUUGUGAAAAAUGCCUCACUUUUCGGGCCCGGCGGCGGCGGCACAUAGUAGUCCUGUCUGUGAUCUCUCCUCUUCUUCUUCUUGCAACAUAUGAAGAGAAGACUCAGCACCACGAGAAUAACAACUCCACCUAUGGCGAUUCCAACUACAAGACCUGUAGAUACAGUGUUUGAGGAUGGAGACGAAGGCGGCGGCGGAGGUGAUUUUGAGUCGGACGGAGGUGGCGGUGGGCUCUUGUUCGAAGAUGGUGAAGAUGGUGGUGGUGGCGGAGAAGCCCUAGAAGGUGGCGGUGGUGAACCGGUUUGGCCCGAAGGUGGUGGAGAGCCAGGAGAGUCCGGAGGAGGCGGAGGAGAACCAGCCGGGGCUGUAGGCGGCGAUCCCGUCGGUGCAGUGGGCGGUGGAGGCGACGGCGAAGAUGGCGGAGGCGCAGCAGGAGUGGCCGGAGGAGGCGCGGUGGUGUUUGUAGAGGGGGGCGGAGGCGAGGUAGUGUUUGUAGAGGGGGGCGAAGUCGGACCAGGGGACUGCCCCGGCGACGGUGACGACAUGUCCGCCCAGAAACUCACGCAAACUCCGGCGAGUGUUUAAAAGGCUUUAACUCCUUAUUUCUCUCUCUAGGAAGCACUUUUCCGAGAG
rnacentral:lncRNA from 1 species